CGUGUCGUGAGAUGUUGGGUUAAGUCCCGCAACGAGCGCAACCCUUGUCCUUAGUUGCCAGCACGUAAUGGUGGGAACUCUAGGGAGACUGCCGGUGACAAACCGGAGGAAGGCGGGGACGACGUCAAGUCAUCAUGGCCCUUACGGCCAGGGCUACACACGUGCUACAAUGGUCGGUACAAAGGGUUGCCAACUCGCGAGAGUGCGCUAAUCCCAAAAAGCCGAUCGUAGUCCGGAUUGGAGUCUGCAACUCGACUCCAUGAAGUCGGAAUCGCUAGUAAUCGCGGAUCAGAAUGCCGCGGUGAAUACGUUCCCGGGCCUU
rnacentral:rRNA from 1 species